AGAGUUUGAUCCUGGCUCAGGAUGAACGCUAGCGACAGGCUUAACACAUGCAAGUCGAGGGGCAACGGGGAGUGUGCUUGCACACUCUGCCGGCGACCGGCGCACGGGUGAGUAACACGUAUGGAACCUACCCUCAGCAGGGGAAUAACCCGGAGAAAUCCGGCCUAAUACCGCGUAAUAACUCCGAGAGGCAUCUCCUGGGGUUUAAAGGGUAACACCGGCUACGGAUGGCCAUGCGGCGCAUUAGCUAGUUGGCGGGGUAACGGCCCACCAAGGCGACGAUGCGUAGGGGUUCUGAGAGGAAGGUCCCCCACACUGGUACUGAGACACGGACCAGACUCCUACGGGAGGCAGCAGUGAGGAAUAUUGGUCAAUGGGCGCGAGCCUGAACCAGCCAAGUCGCGUGAGGGAAGACGGUCCUAUGGAUUGUAAACCUCUUUUGUCGGGGAGCAAAAGACGCCACGUGUGGCGUUCCGAGAGUACCCGAAGAAAAAGCAUCGGCUAACUCCGUACCAGCAGCCGCGGUAAUACGUAGGGGGCAAGCGUUAUCCGGAUUU
rnacentral:rRNA from 1 species